GUGCCCAUAGCUCAAUUGGAUAGAGUAUCUGGCUACGGACCAGAAGGCUAGGGGUUCGACUCCCUUUGGGCACG
rfam:Elusimicrobia bacterium RIFOXYB2_FTLL_49_7 rifoxyb2_full_scaffold_2048, whole genome shotgun sequence.